rnacentral:rRNA from 1 species
UGGGGAAUCUUGGACAAUGGGCGCAAGCCUGAUCCAGCCAUGCCGCGUGGAUGAUGAAGGCCUUAGGGUUGUAAAAUCCUUUCGCCGAGGACGAUAAUGACGGUACUCGGAGAAGAAGCUCCGGCUAACUUCGUGCCAGCAGCCGCGGUAAUACGAAGGGGGCUAGCGUUGUUCGGAAUUACUGGGCGUAAAGCGCACGUAGGUGGCGACGUAAGUCGGGUGUGAAAGCCCCGGGCUCAACCUGGGAACCGCAUUCGAGACUGUGUUGCUGGAGUACGGAAGAGGAGGGCGGAAUUCCCGGUGUAGCGGUGAAAUGCGUAGAUAUCGGGAGGAACAUCAGUGGCGAAGGCGGCCCUCUGGUCCAGUACUGACACUCAAGUGCGAAAGCGUGGGGAGCAAACAGGAUUAGAUACCCAAGUAGUCCCUGAGCGGGCUGGCAAGGCGCAU